GGAUAGAGCUCAGUUGGUAGAGUGUUUGCCUUGCAUGCACAAGGCCCUGGGUUUAAUCCCCAGCACCACUCUAUCUG
rnacentral:tRNA from 1 species